UCGCAACCAUGGGAGACUGGACACACCUGCCACAGGAGGGAAUUGUGUUGUAGGAACCAGUAGUAUCUGCUACAUUGUUUUAAGAACUAAGUUAAGCAGGUGAAACUAAUACAAUAAUAUUUUCAUAAUUUCCUAACCACUUCCACAGUUUUCAGGGUUAUUAAUCUGAUGAGCCAUGAUUUGAACACAAGCCAUUUGACCCCAAAGCCUACUGUUAUUAAUUUAGAAAAAAAAUCAUUAAACCUUGAAGAUAAUUACUCUAAUUUCAAAUGUGACUUCAAAUAAACUUGAAAUAUCUUGGAAAAAUCAAAGAAAAUAUCGUCAUUCCUCCAGGCUCUAGGAAGGAAGUUCUCCCAGGAAAUGCAGGAGACUACAUUUCCCAGCCUUCUUUGUAGUGAAGUUGGAGACUUAUUAGUUCCAGACAUUUGGAUGUUCUCACUUAAUUCUAAUGAUAAAGAUUCAAACUGAGUAUGACUGUAUGUUUUACAAAUAAGAAAACUUAGGAACAGGAAGCUAAAGAUCUUGCACAACUGUCUAUCAGGACAAGAUUUUAACCCAAGAUGUCUAAGUCCUGAGUGCUUCAUCACUAUACUAAUGUUUUAUUGAUUCUAAGAUAUUAUAUUGUGUUUCAUCUGCAUAAUCAGUUUUAUGUUUUUUCAUCU